rnacentral:rRNA from 1 species
GACGAACGCUGGCGGCGUGGAUUAGGCAUGCAAGUCGAACGGUAUCAUCCUUUCGGGGGUGAGAGAGUGGCGAACUGGUGAGUAACACGUAGGUUAUCUACCCUCAAGACGGGGACAACCCAGGGAAACUUGGGCUAAUACCGGAUGUGAGCAACUUUUAGUUGUUUGAAAGGUGGCGUAAGCUGUCGCUUGGGGAUGAGCCUGCGUCCUAUUAGUUAGUUGGUGAGGUAACGGCUCACCUAGGCAAUGAUAGGUAGGCGGCCUUAACGGGUGGUCGCCCACACUGGGAUUGAGAUACGGCCCAGACUCCUACGGGAGGCAGCAGUCGAGAAUAGUCUACAAUGGACGGAAGUCUGAUAGUGCGACGCCGUGUGAACGAAGAAUCCCUUCGGGGUGUAAAGUUCUUUUAUACGUGAGCAGUGCCCUUUAUAUGAAUAGUAUAGAGGGAGGGAUUUAAGCGUAUGAAUAAGCAACGGCUAACUCCGUG